UACAGAGGUCUCAAGCGUUGUUCGGAUUCAUUGGGCGUAAAGGGUGCGUAGGUGGCGCGGUAAGUCGGGUGUGAAAUCUCGGAGCUUAACUCCGAAAUUGCAUUCGAUACUGCCGUGCUUGAGGACUGGAGAGGAGACUGGAAUUCAUGGUGUAGCAGUGAAAUGCGUAGAGAUCAUGAGGAAGACCAGUGGCGAAGGCGGGUCUCUGGACAGUUCCUGACACUGAGACACGAAGGCCAGGGGAGCAAACGGG
rnacentral:rRNA from 1 species